UGGUUCCGAAAUGACACGCUAUUUCGUAUCAUCCUUUCCCUCAGGAAGAAGAAAAAGGAGGAGGGGGCCGAGGAAAGGAAGACUCGGACCCGCUUGUUUGAAUCACUAACAGUUCAAGAAGAUUGCGAAAGCAAGAUGGAGAGGAACUUUGAGAGAAUGGUUCUCAUGUUGUGAAAUGAAAUGACUUUACAGUGGUAUUCAUACAAAAGUCUCAUAAAGUAAAGAAGAUAAAUAAUGAAAUCAAAGAAUAGAAUAAAGAAACAAAAGAAAUGCUAAAAUGAUUCAUAGAAACUGUUAACACUCCCCCUCCAACUCGAGAGUGGAGGUCAGCCAUCGAGAGUUUGCCAACUAAGUAUAGAUGGUGGUCUCGGCUCAUGGCUUUAGUAA
rnacentral:lncRNA from 1 species